GCGGUGUGUUGGUGACUGUCAUGUGAAGUGUCAGUUUGUAACAUGACUCACAGCGUCACAGGCGGAAGGUCACGGAGCAGCAGAACGGAACGGAAGCGGGAGUAAAGAGCCGAUCCGCCAUUGUGGAAUAUGGUGAGGGAUAUUCCAGCAAGACACUAGUCACUUCCAGACUGACUGAUAAACACCCUCGGUUCGGACGGCAGGAUCGGACACGUUUACUUGACGCCUUCUCCGGUUUGUAAACCGCCCGAAGCAGCGGCAGUGGCAGUAGAUCGUCGUCAGGUUCUGACCACAGGCAGGGGGAAAAAAACACACACACACACACCAAAAAAAAAAAGAAAGAAAAAACGCCGCCUUGUAACAGAGUGAUUGGACAAUCAGAGAGAGACGAGCCAGGAAAGCACCGAAGUGCAAAGAGAGAGAGAGAGGCAGGGGGGAAGCCGUGGACAGUCUCACAAACAGCGAUCAGUUUCGGCUCCUGGAGGAUGUCUGCGACCACAGUCGAUCAGAGACCUAAAGGACAAGGAAAUAAAGUGCAAAACGGAUCAAUGCAUCAAAAGGAUGGAGUGAAUGAUGAUGAUUUUGAGCCUUACCUAAGCGGCCAGACAAAUCAGAGUAACAGCUAUCCACCAAUGUCUGACCCCUACAUGCCCAGCUACUAUGCUCCAUCCAUUGGUUUCCCUUACUCUCUGGGAGAGGCUGCUUGGUCCACAGCAGGAGACCCACCUAUGCCCUAUCUGACUACCUAUGGACAGAUGAGCAAUGGCGAGCCGCACUUCAUCCCCGAUGGUGUUUUCAGCCAGCCAGGCGCCCUGGGAAACACCCCUCCCUUCCUUGGCCAGCAUGGUUUCAACUUCUUUCCUGGUAAUGCAGACUUUUCCACCUGGGGCACCAGUGUCUCUCAGGGUCAGUCCACACAGAGCUCAGUCUACAGUAACAGCUACGGCUACGCUCAUAGCUCGCUGGGUCGGGCCAUCACGGACGGACAAGCAGGCUUUGGAAGUGACACCCAGCUCAGUAAAGUCCCGGUGCUGAGCAGUAUUGAGCAGGGUAUGACGGGGCUUAAACUGGGUACAGACAUGGUGGCAGCUGUCACUAAAACCGUGGGCUCACCCUUAGGAGGCACAGCAGGUAUGAGCAGCAUGGCAGCCAAUAACCUCCCUCCUUCUGUCAGCUCGUCCGCACCUAAACCUGCCUCCUGGGCAGCCAUUGCCAAGAAGCCGGCCAAGCCACAGCCCAAGGUCAAACCCAAAGCCAACAUGGGGAUGGGGGGAGGUGCCACCAUUCCCCCACCCCCCAUAAAGCACAAUAUGAACAUUGGUACUUGGGACGAUAAGAGCUCUCUGAACAAGCCCCCCUUAGCUCAGACUAUGAUGCCCCCCCAGCCUCUGGUGCAGCAGCCUCUCCUCGCUCAGCCCCAGCCCUUACUGCAGAACCCUUUACCCCCUCAGCCUCAACACCAGCCCCAACACCAACACCAGCCCUUCCAACUACAGUCUCUCCAGUCCCCCCAACACCCCCAGCCCCUGCCCCCUGGCCCUCCACACCUGCACCUCUCGUCCCAACCUGGUCCCCCACAUCCCCUUCAUCAGCAACAACCCCAGCAGCCUGGACCACCCCCAAACCGCUGGGUGGCUCCAAGGAACCGCGGUGAGGGCUUUGGUCUGGGUGGUGGAGUCCCGCUGAGUGCCUCCCCCUGCUCUGGUGAAGUGCACCCAGUGCUGGAGAAACUCCGUGCCCUCAACAACUACAACCCCAAAGACUUUGACUGGAACUUGAAAAACGGACGUGUUUUCAUUAUCAAGAGCUAUUCAGAAGAUGACAUCCACCGCUCAAUCAAGUACUCUAUCUGGUGCAGUACAGAACAUGGCAACAAGCGCCUGGAUGGCGCUUAUCGCUCAAUGGGCAACAAGGGGCCCCUAUACCUGUUGUUCAGCGUCAAUGGCAGUGGGCACUUUUGUGGCGUGGCCGAGAUGCGCUCACCGGUGGACUACAAUGCCUAUGCAGGCGUCUGGUCUCAGGACAAGUGGAAGGGCAAGUUUGAGGUGAAGUGGGUUUUCAUCAAAGACGUGCCCAACAACCAGCUGCGUCACAUCCGGCUGGAAAACAAUGACAACAAGCCAGUGACCAACUCCAGGGACACUCAGGAAGUGCCUCUGGAGAAGGCCAAACAAGUGCUUAAAGUUAUCGCCACUUACAAGCAUACCACCUCAAUCUUUGAUGACUUUGCACAUUAUGAGAAACGUCAGGAAGAGGAGGAGGCUCUGAGGAAGGAGCGCAGUAGAAAUAAACAGUAACCUUCAAGCAAGCUCUCUGCUAGAACUGCAACACUAAUGAUGUAGGACCUUAAAUAAAAUUUGCCUAACCAUAAGGAGGAAAGGCUCUCACAAUCUUUCCGCUGAAGACGACAAUGUAUCUGAACACUUGAACAUGACAAUAGAUGGACUCAUCUGUAUCCGUUGACUGGUGCAUCAAACCCCGUGUUCCUGUCUCACGAGAAAAAGAGCGUAACCUACUUUGAAAAACUCUGUCUUUAAAGCACUUUCAGUCCUUCCAAACAGCCUCUACCAAUACCCUUAACUCUUUUUCUUCUUCUUUGAUUUUGUUUGUGAGCAACUAACUGACUAACCAGAGUAGUCAGAAGAUUUCACUGAGCUUAUUUGUAAUUUUUUUAAUGCCUCAAAUGAAAUGUUUGGGAUAUUGGUGAGCGUCAUCAGGCCCCGAAGAGAAUUAAACAUGAUCUGUAUGAAUUAAUCUUGUACUUGAAUCUGUAUGCAGCCGUCUGAUCCUCCUCAGACAGAGGCUGUGGGUGAUUGACACGUGGGAUGAAAUAAUUGGGAAACAGCCACAAUCAUGCCAAUCAUAGGAUGUAUCCUCCCUCUACCUGGUCCCUUCCUUUCUGCAUCUGUUUCUGUGUACCAAAAGAUUACAAUUAUGCAGCAGGCUGGCGAGCGCCGGCUAAUGCACAUCUUUGUUUUUGUUUUUUUUCUUUCUCUCUUGUGAUUCUGUCAUUCUGAAGUGCAUUUGUCUGAGGAGAAACCUGCUGCUCUGGUAGAACUAGUGGAAGCCUCCUGUGGCCCUGCGGGUGACUGUCUUUGCCCUGAUGUUGAUGUAGUCUACCGUACCUCAGGCUCAAUCAGACUGUCUGUCCUCAACAACUCUUAGCACUUUUGGGAGAACCUCCACAUCAACCCCACCUGCUCCACUUGACUGAGAUUCCCCCAAAAAGGCAGGACAUCAACUGCAAGGAUGUGACAGUUUUCUCCUCUAGGUUUCCCAGACACUAUGGGUUGAGGAGGAAUUGGAAGUUUGUCGGCUUAGACCUGGUGUCAUUCCAUCAGUGUUAAACUUCCCGGCUCAUCCUGGAAGAGUACGUGCCAGAAAGACCACGACCAAGCAGCCUUGAGAUCUUAGGCAGCGUCUCCCUGAGGUCCCUCUCUAUCUCCCUACACAUCCACCAACCACUGGAACACAUCUCCAAAGUUCUGCCAGGCCAGCUCAGCUUCCCCUCAGAAGAAGUGCUGCCACCUGCCAGAUGAAGGAGCCUUUUGAGAGGCAGCUGGCAUCGUGAUUGGACUGUACUUUGGUCUGUUCCAAUCCAGCUUCAGCUCCAGAGACGGCAGGCGGGACGAGUCAACGGAGGCCGGGUGGACGAAGGCAUGCAGCUGAGUACAAUCCAGAAAACAACAGAGGAAGAGUGCAGCUGCCCAGGACCAGAACAGAGUAGCAUGACCAAAGAAGUACAGACUCUUCACAACCUGCUCAAACUCUUCGUACAAGACCUCACCACACGGGUCAAGAAGGUUUCCAUCUCAUUUCUACUCUGAAGCUCACCUUCUCCUGCUCAAACUGCUGACAAAUGUUUCUGCUGCUCUAAAGUCUGGUCUCCAGAACUUCCUAAAAACUCUCAAAGUCUCUUCUGCUGCAGGUUGCUUUGUAGAACUGUUCCAGAAAACCUCACUAAACCACAUGGAGGGGCCUCAAGAUAGUCGUCCAAAUGAAACCAUACAAAAACCAAACUAGCACAACCUAAACGCUAAAGUCUCCUGCAGCCUACCAGAGAACCUCUGAGAACAGAGAAUCAGGACAGGAACUCUUACCUUCUGGACAACCAAGAAUACAGAAUGUGUCUGACCAAAAACCUCUAAAGACUCACUACAGCCAAGAUAAGACACAACUCAGCUGCACCAAAUCCACUAAUCACUGCACACAUUAGCACCAUGUGCCAACUGUGGCUAAAGAACCACAUUUACCAAGACAAUUAUCCAGUACAAAGCCCUAAAACACACCAAGAAACACAUUAAAGACGAUUUUACUGCUGGAAGCUGCAAGCCAACGCCUAAAGAACAAACUAAAGCAAUGAAGCCAAACCCGGUUCAGUGGUGAAGAGAAGCAGAGGAAAUGUUUGGCUGCAGCUAAAUAAAGCAGGAAGACACUGAGCUGCUCAGGUGUUCCUGAUAACACUGAGCUGCUCAGGUGUUCCUGAUAACACCAAGCAGCCACCUGGACAGCCAAUAGGAACACAGCUUACUGGAAGUCCAGAGGGCUGGGUUAGUGAAGGAAAUUUAAUUUAAAGUUGAAGCAGAAAGUUAACAAAGAAAGUUGAAAACCACCUUCUGAUACCUGAAAUCUCUGAGUUUUCACACAAAGAACACCUGAACAUGUCAAACUGGUUCCAUAGUAGAACCCUCAUUGUAAAAACGUCAUAGUAUGGUGUGUUGCUCAAAAAACAUUAGGACCCGGCUGUCAGGGGACAAACAUGUAAGAAACAUGAGAACAGAGAGAACCCAACCAGUAGGUCACAGUUUAUCAUCCCCCAGUCAUCUCCUGAAGUCCAUAUGGUGAGAGACAUCAGUAUCUGGUUGUUAAUUUACCAGAGGAUGCUUAUAAUCAUGCUGAUGUGGUCUGUACUCUACACUAUUUUAGUGACUCAAUAAAUGCCUAAGUUGUUUUUUUUAGAUGCUUUUUAGUUUUUAAUAAACAUUUCACAGCCUAUAUGUAAUCAAUAAAUGGCCUUUGCCUAUCUUAAGAAAAAUUCACUCAGAACUCUGAUAUGUUAACAGUACUAAAUAAAUCAAUAAAUACAUGCAUACACACAAAAAUAAGUUAAUACAUUAACUGUGUUAAGAUAAGAUUUAGAUUUUUAAAAAAGUUGUUUAUGUUUUUGCAGAAUCCAGUAUUGCUCACUGGUUGGUCAUUACAUUUUAUUAGUUUGAUUUCACUGUUUAAAAUGAUGCCACCUCUUUUCAGACAGAACCUGUGAUAAUAAAACAAUACAAAAUUUUUAGUUCAGUGUUAAUAAAGCACUUAAAGCUUUAAGUAUGGCUAAAUGCUUUUUUCAAAAUUAAAUAUAUCACUCCUUAGGUGGUAGUGGCCCCAAGUUCAGUAAAGUUGGAAAGAUAUUCACAGAUUCAGACUUCCAGCAUCAAUAACUCAUUAGAUAUAGGUUGUCAAAACAUAAACGGUGCCUCUUUCCCAUUGUUGCAAGGCAGACAAUGUGCUACAAGCCCAGUUUUAUCAAAAGUAUCUGUCUUUCAAGCUACAGGAAUAACAUGGUGUCUAUGGAGUGAACAGGGUCCGUCUGCAAUUUGCAAAACCGCUGCAACAGUAAAGAGAGACAAAUAUUCAAUAACUUCACUCUUAUACAUUGUAGUGUUGUGCAGUGUAGUGUUAAGACGCACCUUUUCUCCCUGGCUUUUUAAUCAUCAGAUGUGCUGAAUAUGUUAUUUUAUUUGCAUAGUAUAAUUUAUGUUUUUAUUCUAUUUUUAUGACUUUGCUAAUUUUAAAGUUAUGUGUCAUCUUUCAGUGUAUUUUAUUGUUGUGAAGCACUUUGGGCUUUUUUAGUUGUAAAUGUGCUAUAUAAAUAAAGUUGACAUUGACAUUGA